GAGAGAAUAAUGCAGGGCAAUAUCACUGUUACUGUUAUAACUCUGCUGGGUGGACUGAGAAGAGUGACGCCCUGGAGCUGGUGGUGACAGGUGUCUACUACAAACCCACCCUGUCUGCCCUGCCAAACCCUGUUGUAAUCUUAGGAGGAUCUGUGACCCUCUCAUGUACCUCAAAUCAGAAAUACGACAGGUUCAUUUUAAUUAAGGACAAGCAGUUCUACAGCUUCAUGGACUCACAAUAUGUAUAUACUGGCCUGUCUCCAGCCAGGUUCCAAGUGGGUCCCAUCACACUCAGUGAAAGAUGGAGUUUCAGAUGCUAUGGUUAUCAUGCAAGCAAGCCUCAAGUGUGGUCAGAAGGGAGUGACAUCCUGGAGCUUAUAGUCUCAGGUGUCUACUACAAACCCACCCUGUCUACACUUCCAUACCCUGUUGUAACCUUAGGAGGAUCUGUGACCCUCUCAUGUACCUCCAAUCAGAGAUAUAAUGGGUUCAUUUUAAUUAAGGAUGAGCACUUCUCCAGUUCCAUGGACUCACAAUAUGUAUAUGAUGGGCUGUCUCCAGCCAGGUUCCAAGUGGGUCCCAUCACACUCAGUGAAAAAUGGAGUUUCAGAUGCUUUGGCUAUUACUCAAGCAAGCCUCAA